GUUCAUUACUCCUGUAAAGUCUUGUUCAGCUCUGCAAUCAACCUAGACAACUAGAUGCAUCAAUCAAUCGACACCAAUGCUGGUGUGGGACUCGCAGUGACUCCUGGAUGGACAGAUCAUGGCUGCUGCUAACCUCUCCCAGACCACAGCCUCUGCUUCCUCCCGGCCCUGGGUAUCGCAUUGAGACUGGAAGGACUUUGUACAGCGGAAGGGGCUAAAGGAGCUUGGAGAAGGUUUUGUGCUGACAGCACCAGGCCUUGGGUCUCAGGUACACCAACUUUCUCCACUUUCUGCAUAUAGUCAUCUGAGUGAUUGUCUUGUCCUUUUCACAGUCAUUGUGUCACAGGGUGAGCAGUUGAACCACCUCCUCAGGCUUCUGACUGGCUUCUGUGUUUGUGCUGGAAUCCACUCUCCAUCCACUUCGAAUCAAGUGCUUGUCAUCCGCCUUGUCCUUUCCUCUCUUCAGUACCAGCCACCUUGAAUUGCUGGGUC